UUGUAUUUAGAGCUAUAUAUUAAUUUGAUGUUGAAGCUGAAAUUCAGGAACUUAAUAUAAUAGGUGAGGUUUUAGAUAAUCCUAACAAGUCUCAUCCAGCAGUAGCAGAGAAAAUAGGUGUUGAGAAAACCAGAGUUUUAAAAACGCUUUAAAAGCACAAAUUUAAAUCCUACAGGGUUAGGAAAGUUCAUCACCUUCAGGAUGGCGACUUUCAGAGAAGAAUUGCAUUUUGUGAUUGAUGAAAGCCGAAUAGACACUUCAGGAAUAUAUAAUAGGUAUAAUUCCUAUUACUGGCCUACAGAAAACCCCCAUGUUGUAGUAAGCGCGAACAGACAGGGACGGCUGGGCUUCAAUAUUUGGGAUGGAAUUUUUCGAGGUAAAAAUUAUUUACAUCGCCGAUCCAGACCCACCAUCAUUCCCUUCGUUUUGCCUGGCAUUUUCCGCCUGGAACGCCUGUUGUUGCUGAAGAAAUUUAGCUGCUGCCGGGAAACCUUGCAAAUCGAAACCUGGGGGA